rnacentral:rRNA from 1 species
AACGUAGGAGACAAACGUUAUCCGGAGUUACUGGGCGUAAAGGGCGUGUAGGCGGUUAGUUAAGUCUGGCGUGAAAGCUCUCGGCUAAACCGGGGAGAGGUCGUUGGAUACUGGCUGACUAGAGGACGGUAGAGGCGUGUGGAAUUCCGGGGUGUAGUGGGUGAAAAUGCGUAGAGAUCCGGAGGAACACCAGUGGCGAAGGCGACAGCUGGGCCGUACCUGACGCUAAAGCGCGACAGCAUGGGGGGAGCAAAACGGGGG